GUAGGUGGCAAGCGUUGUCCGGAAUUAUUGGGCGUAAAGCGCGCGCAGGCGGUUCUUUAAGUCUGAUGUGAAAGCCCACGGCUCAACCGUGGAGGGCCAUUGGAAACUGGAGAACUUGAGUACAGAAGAGGAAAGCGGAAUUCCACGUGUAGCGGUGAAAUGCGUAGAGAUGUGGAGGAACACCAGUGGCGAAGGCGGCUUUCUGGUCUGUAACUGACGCUGAGGCGCGAAAGCGUGGGGAGCAAACAGGGAUUAGAUACCCUGGUAGUCCACGCCGUAAACGAUGAGUGCUAAGUGUUAGGGGGGUUUCCGCCCCCUUAGUGCUGCAGCUAACGCAUUAAGCACUCCGCCUGGGGAUACGGCCGCAAGGCUG
rnacentral:rRNA from 1 species